GUUCGAGCGUCAUUUCAACCCUCAAGCCUGGCUUGGUAUUGGACGUCCUCUCAACCGGAGGCGUCUGGAAAUCAGUGGCGGCAUAUCCAAACCUUUGAGCGCAGUAAAUAUUUCGUUCUGCAAGGGGAGGCGACUGUCUGUCAACAAAUCCAAUCUCUAUGGUUGACCUCGGAUCAGGUAGGAUUACCCGCUGAACUUAA
rnacentral:misc_RNA from 1 species